GUGAGAUCGCCAGGUGACUGACCCCCGGCCCUGACCGCAGCAUGCCCCUUAGGCAGUUCCAAGCCUGCCCAACCAGACUGUGGGCCCCGCUCACCUUCCCCUUCCCACAGGUUCUACAAGCUGCACGAGCGGAGGUGUGAGCCCAUUGCCAUGACAGUGCCUCGAAAGUCGGACCUGUUCCAGGAGGACCUGUACCCACCCACCGCAGGGCCUGACCCUGCCCUCACGGCUGAGGAGUGGCUGGGGGGUCGGGAUGCUGGGCCCCUCCUCAUCUCCCUCAAGGAUGGCUACGUACCCCCAAAGAGCCGGGAGCUGAGGGUCAACCGGGGCCUGGACACUGGGCGCAGGAGGGCAGCACCAGAGGCCAGUGGCACUCCCAG
rnacentral:sRNA from 1 species